CACCUGAGUGGGACCCGUUGCCACCCCUCCCUUCCGGAAUUUAGGGAAGGUUCUUGGCCGUUUGAAAUCGGGAUGAAACUACAAAGGCGGGAGGAACGCCGAAGGCAAAAAUCCUCUUCCCUUCCCAACAACAAACCACCACUGAAAAGUUGAAACCAAGGAGAGAUGAAGUUCAAAGCUUUCCUCACCCAGGAUGGCGUCAACCUCCUCGACAAGCGCUUCCUCCCGGCCCUUGAUAAGCUCGGCCGCAUCUGCCAUGUCUACCUGACGCCCGAUCACGCCAUGUUCCUCCACAAUCUCCUCGGCGGCGAUGGCGUCCAGUCCGUCGCCCAGUUCAAGAAGGACGUCCUCUUCCGGGACUACCGCAUCUCCAGCCAGAACGCUGACCGUAUCGCCUUCGCCAUCGACGCUGCCCUCCUCCACCGCGCCCUCCGCAGUGCUGUCACCAUCCAGACCCAGGCCGGGGAUGGCACGGCCUCUAUCCAGAUUAAGCUUGUCAAGAAGCUCCCUGCCGGGUCUCGCAAUUCCGCGCCAUACCUCACCUUUGAGACAAAAGGCCUGCGCUCUGCUGUUGUGCAGGACGUCCCCAUCUCGAAGCCUCUCUCUCGGACCGAUGUUCUCCAGCUUCAGUCUGCCCUUGAUGCUGCCCAGGACCUCCCCCGGACUCUGGUUCAGGUACCGGAUCUGGCCCAGAUGCAGAACCUGGUUGACCGGCUCAAGAAUGUUGGGGAUCUGCUCGCCGUCGCCAUUACACAGUACGGGGACCUCCAUCUGCAAGUCUCGACCUCUCUCAUCACUGUUGGUUCAGAGUUCAGGAGGCUCAGGGUCCUUGGGGUGCAUGCCAAUGCUCCAGUGGGGGACCAGAACUUGAGUGCUCCAACACGCACUGAAAUGGCAAUUCAAAGGGGGGAGGCACUUUCCAUUCACGUGAGCAUGAAGCACCUUGCAAGGAGUCUGCAAUGCCAUUUGGCCAAGCCAGAUUGUGCCUUUUAUGGUAUAGCUCCACAAGGUGCUUGCUUGAUGGUGAUAUUCCAGUUCUUCAUCCCGGGAACAAGAUUGACGGAUAAAUCCAUCAGCUUCCACUGCAGACUUCCAGUCCUUGACCCAGGCUCUAGCUGAGAAAAGGCAGUGCAAGAUUACAUGAUCUCGAGUAGAUGGUUCCAAAAAGAUUAGACAGCAUCUCCCAUAUACUUCAUUCCUGGAAGGAAGGGGAGUUUGUAACAAAUGCUUCCAAUGUGAAAUGCCUCAAGAUUGGGAGGAAGACUUCAAGGGUUCUUGUUACCGGUGGAGAAGAUCACAAGGUCAAUCUCUGGGCUAUUGGCAAACCCAAUGCCAUACUGCUGACAAUGUGCAGAGCCUGUCAGGCCAUACAAGUGCAGUCGAGUCGUUAAAUUUUGAUUCAUCAGAAGCUUUAGUGGCUGCUGGAUCUGCCAGUGGCAUGAUAAAGUUGUGGGAAUUAGUGGAGGCAAAAGCUAAGAACCAGAAUUGAUCCCCGUGUUGUUUGCACUCUAGCAGGGCACAGGUUCAACUGUGUAUCUGUUGAUUUUCAUCCAUUUGGGGAAUUCAUUGCAUCUGGAUCUUUGGAUACAAACCUAAAGAUAUGGGAUGCUGAAGGAAGGGAUGCAUCCACACAUACAAAGGGCAGAGCGGACGGGUCAAUGCCAUUAGAUUCACCCCAGAUGACCGAUGGGUUGUUUCAGGUGGAGAAGAUAACAUUGUGAAGGUAUUGCAGCAGAUCUCACAUUUUGGGCUGUCUCCUAUCUAGGAAGUUUCAAAACCAAGAGUGGGACUUUUUGGCAUUUUUAUAUUAUUGUAUAUUUUUCUUUCAUUUUUAUUUUCUCUCUCUCUUUUUUAUAAGGUGAAUGCUAUAAAAACGAUUUGGUAAGAAUUGCUGGCCAUGUUUAGUAAUAGAAGGUGGCAAAUAAACACAUUAUUUUU